UACGUAGGGUGCGAGCGUUGUCCGGAAUUACUGGGCGUAAAGGGCUCGUAGGUGGUUUGUCGCGUCGUCUGUGAAAUUCCGGGGCUUAACUCCGGGCGUGCAGGCGAUACGGGCAUAACUUGAGUACUGUAGGGGUAACUGGAAUUCCUGGUGUAGCGGUGAAAUGCGCAGAUAUCAGGAGGAACACCGAUGGCGAAGGCAGGUUACUGGGCAGCUACUGACGCUGAGGAGCGAAAGCAUGGGUAGCGAACAGG
rnacentral:rRNA from 1 species